rnacentral:rRNA from 1 species
GUGAGUAGUUCAGAGUUUGAUCCUGGCUCAGGACGAACGCUGGCGGCGCGCCUAACACAUGCAAGUCGAACGGAGAGAAAGACAGCUUGCUGGAUUUUUCUUAGUGGCGGACGGGUGAGUAACACGUGAGCAACCUGCCCCUCAGAGAGGAAUAACGUUUGGAAACGAACGCUAAUACCUCAUAACAUUACUGGAAGGCAUCUUCCGGUAAUCAAAGAUUUAUCGCUGAGGGAUGGGCUCGCGUCCGAUUAGGUAGUUGGUGAGAUAACAGCCCACCAAGCCGACGAUCGGUAGCCGGACUGAGAGGUUGAACGGCCACAUUGGGACUGAGACACGGCCCAG